rnacentral:lncRNA from 1 species
ACGUUUCCUUCAGUUCUGGGCACACGUUUCCUUUCGUUCACACUGGCCAUUUCUUUCGUUCACACUGGCCACUUCCUUUCGUUCACACUGGCCACACGUUUCCUUUCGUUCACACUGGCCACACGUUUCCUUUCGUUCACACUGGCCAUUUCUUUCGUUCACACUGGCCACUUCCUUUCGUUCACACUGGCCACACGUUUCCUUUCGUUCACACUGGCCACACGUUUCCUUUCGUUCACACGUCUUCAACAUUAUGUUCAACAAAGUUUCCUUUCAACCCAGCAUCACUCAAAAAAACAAUUGCUCACAAACAACUUGCAAAGACCCAUCCUUUAUCUUGCAAAGACCCAUCCUUUAUCUUUUAUACCUUGUGAAGAUCCUGUUGCAAACAUGUUAUAAGUAAAAUCCAAUGAAUUAGAACAUGUAUAAGUAAAACAUUAGCCGUUUCUCUUAUAAAUUGAGGCAAACAGAACUGAGAGAGAGGAGGAAAUUUUCUAAAACAAUCAGAAAACCAGAUAAAGGUAGAAGAUAGAGUUGUUAUUAGAGAAACAGAUCUUACCCAUAACAAACAGAUCCAUCAAACCCAUUCAGCAAACUCAGAUCCAUCAAACCCAUAAGGAUAUUCAAACCCGUUUUAAAAUCAAACCCGUUUUAAGAUCAAAGAGACGACCGCAUCGGAAAGGUAUUUCAUUCAUCGAUUCCUGGUUUGAGUUUGAAAUUUUGUGUAUGAGUUUGAAAUGGGGGUGAGGUUUGCCCUGUUUGUUUCAUUGUUUCCUGAUUUGUUUAGCGCUUUCAUUUUAUUAAGGGUUAGGGUAUUAUUUUCUUUAAAUUAUUAUUAUUUAUGUUAUGCUUAUUAUAAAAAUUAUGAAUACAAUUAACUAGUAAUAAAGGUCAUUUAUUUUACAUUAUAACAAUUUUUCACUUAUUUACAAAAUAUAUUAAAAAAGGAUUAUAUAUAUAAUUAAUAUAAAUUUUUUAAUAGAUUAAGUUAAAGUCCAUAUAUUUUUAUUUUUACUAUUUUAUUCUCGUGGUUAUAACUAAUUCUAUUUCGAAA